AGAGAUAUAUGUAGCCAAGAACAACUUGCCGGAUUACUAGUAAUCAUAUGUUGAUAUUAAAUUGGAUGUAUUCCGGCAAGUCAUUCUUGGCUGCAAUUCACUCUCU